rnacentral:rRNA from 1 species
UGGGGAAUUUUGGACAAUGGGCGAAAGCCUGAUCCAGCAAUGCCGCGUGUGUGAAGAAGGCCUUCGGGUUGUAAAGCACUUUUGUCCGGAAAGAAAUGGCCCUGGUUAAUACCUGGGGUCGAUGACGCUACCGGAAGAAUAAGGACCGGCUAACUACGUGCCAGCAGCCGCGGUAAUACGUAGGGUCCAAGCGUUAAUCGGAAUUACUGGGCGUAAAGCGUGCGCAGGCGGUUGUGCAAGACCGAUGUGAAAUCGCCGAGCUUAACCUGGGAAUUGCGCUGGUGACUGUACAGCUAGAGUGUGUCAGAGGGAGGUAGAAUUCCACGUGUAGCAGUGAAAUGCGUAGAGAUGUGGAGGAAUACCGAUGGCGAAGGCAGCCCCCUGGAAUAACACUGACGCUCAUGCACGAAAGCGUGGGGAGCAAACAGG